AGUGAACGCUGGCGGCGUGCUUAACACAUGCAAGUCGAACGCGAAAGGGGAGCAAUCCCCAAGUAGAGUGGCGAACGGGUGAGUAAUGUGUGGGUAAUUUGCCUUUCAGCGGGGGAUAACCCGGGAACCGUGAGCUAAUACCCCAUAACAUGGCUUGAUCUUCGGAUCGAGUCAUCAAACGAUGGCCUCUGCUUGCAAGCUAUCGCUGGAAGAUGA
rnacentral:rRNA from 1 species